AACGAACGCUGGCGGCAGGCCUAACACAUGCAAGUCGAGCGCCCCGCAAGGGGAGCGGCAGACGGGUGAGUAACACGUGGGAACGUGCCCGAAGGUACGGAACAACUCCGGGAAACUGGAGCUAAUACCGUAUGUGACCGAGAGGUGAAAGAUUUAUCGCCUUCGGAUCGGCCCGCGUCUGAUUAGCUAGUUGGUGGGGUAAUGGCCUACCAAGGCGACGAUCAGUAGCUGGUCUGAGAGGAUGAUCAGCCACACUGGGACUGAGACACGGCCCAGACUCCUACGGGAGGCAGCAGUGGGGAAUCUUGGACAAUGGGCGCAAGCCUGAUCCAGCCAUGCCGCGUGGAUGAUGAAGGCCCUAGGGUUGUAAAAUCCUUUCGUCAGGGACGAUAAUGACGGUACCUGAAGAAGAAGCCCCGGCUAACUUCGUGCCAGCAGCCGCGGUAAGAC
rnacentral:rRNA from 1 species